AAUUUAUGCACUGGUUUUGUAUUGUUUACUUCCCUUAAUAUCGAUGUUUUGCACUUAAUAAUAAUGAUUUACUUGUGUUUUACUUUUGUAGGUGCAAUUCUAUUGAUUUGUGAUAAAAUUGAGCUAUAAGAUGAUGUUUAAAGAUGAUUGUUCUCUUCGAGAAAUUAUGAGCGUCAGAAGAACUUUGUUGAUAAGGCGUGGGCGCGUGCUGUCAACUGCGGACCUGCAAUUUUUAGUUUAACGUGUUUUGUAGUUUUGGUUAUUUUUGUAAUUACGAAUUUAAUAUUUCAGAUAUUAGUAUUUUAUUUUAAAUAGAACUCUAGAGGAGAAGAGAGAGAGAGUAUUUAAGGGAGGAAUCUAUUGUGAAAAAAAGGGGAUUGGAGAAAAAGAAAGAAACCCUAGAUCUAAUUUUUCUCUUCUCUCUAUGAAGAACUAAACUUAUUUUUCUGGUUAAAGGUUAAUGAAGCUUUGAUUCAUCACUACUGUGAGAUCUUUCUUAUGCUUUAAUUGUUUUAUUACUCUUUGGGUAUUUGUUUAUUAUCUGAAUUAGUUUCAUGAUUAUGUUUGUUAAUUAAGUAAUUGGCCACUAUUUAAUUAUCAACUUAAUCUAUUGUCAAUUAAAUGAUUCAUCGUAUGAAGAUUUUAAUAUUUGUGACAAAUAACAUAGCAGUGAGUUGUGUUAUGAGAAUAAACAAUCUAAUUUAAAUGAAUUAUCAUAUGUGUUGAUUAAGAUUUGGGUCUCUUUGGUUUUUCAGGCUGUCAAUUGAUUAAAUCCUAUGAUCGUAUCUAGGGUUGUCUAUUGAUUAGGGAAAUAUCUAACGGUCGUACUUUGGUUAUCGACUAGUUAAGAAGAGAUUGGCUAUUAGAGGGUCUCAAUAGCUAUAACCGGUCUAUUCAUAAGUAAUAAUAAUCUAUAUUUGAAUCAAUAAUCAGUAGUCGAAUCAAGCUGAGUUAAUUCCUUCAACCAGAGCUUUCUCCAAUUUGAAUUACAACUUUAAUUUACAUUCUUAUUAUUUUAAUUUGAUUUUUAUUAUUGUCAACAAAACCCCCAUUUUAUCUUUUACAUUUUAAAAAGAUUUAAAUAAUUACCGAUCUCUGUGGACACGACCCUACUCAAUCACUAUACACAAUUUAUUUAGAGUAGGAAUUUAUUUUUGUUGGCUUCGACAACCAUCAAAUUUUGGCGCCGUUGCCGGGGAUUGAUGUCAUUUAUUUAAUCCUUUUUACGUUUUACUUGGUGUAUGGUUCGUUCUUCUCGUACAGGUACACUUUCGUUUGAUCCUGAAAUUGAGAAGACAGCUCGCCAGCUGAGAUAGCAGACGAAGCGAGCUAAGCAACGAUCCUCAUCGCCUUUGCUUUUUGAAACAGAUACAGUGCCUGAUUUAGUUGAAUCAUCUAGCGAUUCAGAAGAACAAGUGAUGGAUAGACCUGCACCUGUAGAAAGAACUCUUAGAGAGUUAGCUGAACCAGACUUGAAUCAACAACCACUCUGCAUUCAAUAUGUAGACUUGGAGGUAAAUUUUGAAUUAAAGUCUGGUCUUAUUCAUUUAUUGCCCAAGUUUCAUGGUUUUGCAGGUGAAGAUCCUCAUAAACAUCUUAAGGAGUUUCAUGUUGUGUGUUCAAGUAUGAGACCACAAGGCGUGACUGAAGAGCAGAUUAAGCUGCGUGCUUUUCCUUUCUCUUUAGAUGGACUAGCUAAAGACUGGUUGUACUACUUGCCUCCUGGAUCAAUUACAACGUGGAAUGGUUUGAAGAAGCAGUUCCUCAAGAAGUACUUUCAUGCUUCAAGAGCUGCUAACAUCAGAAAAGACAUUUGUGGGAUCAGACAACUUCCUGGGGAGACUUUGUAUGAGUAUUGAGAGCGAUUCAAACAAUUGUGUGCCAGCUGUCCUCAGCAUCAGAUUUCUGAUCAACUUCUUAUUCAAUAUUUUUACGAAGGACUGUCAUUGAUGGAUAGGAGCAUGAUAGAUGCUGCUAGUGGAGGCGUGUUGGUGAACAAGACCCCUACUCAAGCAAGGGAGCUGAUAUCAAAUAUGGCUGCCAACGCACAACAAUUUGGCAGCAGGCAAGAUCUCACUUCAAGGAAGGUGAAUGAGGUCAAUAUUUCUUCUGUUGAACAACGUUUAGAUAAACUUACUUCUCUUAUGGAAAAGUUUGUUGUAGGUCAUGUGCAACAGGUGAAGACUUGUGGCAUUUGUUACAAUAUGGGUCAUUCAACUGAUAUGUGUCUUACACUUCAAGAAGAACUCGUUGAACAAGUCAAUGUAGUUGGAGGAUUUCCAGGCAUGCCUCAGAGGAGGUAUGAUCCUUAUGCACAAACAUACAAUCCGGGAUGGAAGGAUCAUCCCAACUUCAGCUAUGGAGUUAGGCCGUCAGGAUUCCCACAACAGUAUCCACCAAGACAACCAGCACCUCCACAGUCAAACUCCAAGUCAGGUAUAUCUCUUGAAGAAAUUGUUAAAUCACUUGCGACUAACACUCAACAAUUUCAGCAGGCGACUACAGCAAGCAUUUAGAAUUUAGAGAACCAAAUGAGUCAAUUGGCGACUACAGUGAGCCGUCUGGAGUCUCAAGUAUUAGGGAGAUUGCCUUCACAAUCUGAGGUGAAUCCAAAGCAAAACGUUAGUGCUGUCAUCCUUAGAAGUGGGAAGGAGUUGCAAGAGCCUAGUAAGAAAGUGACAAAGCAUGUAGAAGAUGAGCUUGAGAAGAAUGAAUUGAUGCCUAAAUCUCAAGAUGCGCAACCCACCAGAGCGAAACCCCUACCUAUUGCGAUACCUCCUCCUUUUCCAAGCCGGUUUGUAAAAUCCAAGAAGGAGGAACAAGAUAAAGACAUCCUUGAGACAUUUCGCAAGGUUGAGGUAAAUAUUCCUUUAUUAGAUGCUAUAAAACAAAUACCUCGAUAUGCUAAAAUUCUUAAGGAACUGUGCACCUCUAAGAGAAAAUUAAGAGGAGAUGAAAAAGUUCACAUGGGGGAGAAUGUUUCAGCAGUUCUCCAAAAGAAACUACCUCUUAAGUGCAAGGAUCCAGGUAUGUUUACUAUCCCUUGUAAAAUUGGUAGUGUUAGAAUUGAAAAGGCUUUGUUAGAUCUAGGAGCUUCUAUUAAUGUCAUGCCUCGUUCCAUUUAUUCAUCUUUGAAUGUUGGGCCAUUAAAAGAAACUGGCGUGAUAAUUCAACUAGCUGAUAGGUCUAAUGCAUAUCCUGAUGGGGUAUUAGAAGAUGUCUUAAUAUAAGUUAAUGAGUUGGUUUUUCCUGCUGAUUUUUAUGUACUUGAUAUGGAAGAGGAUAACUCCUCUAAUUUUGUCCCAAUUUUGCUAGGAAGACCUUUUCUUAAAACUGCUAGGACUAAAAUGGAUGUACAUAAAGGGACUCUCACUAUGGAGUUUGAUGGAGAGGUUAUAGAAUUCAAUAUGAAUGAUGCCAUGAAAUAUCCUAGUGAGGAACAUUGGGUAUUUUCUAUGGAUGUUAUUAACCUUAUAGUGCAGGAAGUUUUUUAUAAGGAAAAAAACGAAGACAUUUCAUGAUAGAAUGAUUUUGAGAAAGGAGUUCUCUAUUGGUCAAAAAGUUAUUCUUUUUCAUUCUAACCUUAAACUUUUUCCGGGUAAAUUACGUUCUUGCUGGGUUGGAUCUUUUAUUGUUACUAAUGUUUUUCCUCAUGGUGCAGUUGAGAUUCAGAGUCCGACCUCUGACAAAGUUUUUAAGGUUAACGGUCAUCGCUUAAAACUUUUUUAUGAAGGUUUUUCGGUGAAUAUUGUGGAGGAUGUGGCUCUCGAGAGUCCCAAUUAUGGAGAUUGAUGCAUAAAUGUGUCUAGCCAAAGACAUAAAACAAAUGCGCUUUUUGGGAGGCAACCCAAAUGAUUUAUUUAUUUUGGUUUUUGUUAUAUCUUCUUUUAAUUUUGAUUUGGAUUUUUUUUUAAAAAUAAUGUGUUUGCUUAUUUUGGCCAGAAGAAAAUUUUCGAUAAGGCGUGCCCACGUCUUAACUAAUAAGUACUUCUGUGAUUUUUAAAGUAAAAUGGUUUUAAGGCGUGCCCACGUGCUUAUUAGAAAAGUACUUCUGAAAUUUUUAGUGUCUCAAAGUGAUUCAUCACUAAAAAAAAAAAUUAUUUAUUUAUUUAUUUAUUUUUCCUUCUUUUCUUUCUUAUAUAUAUAUAUAUAUUAUUUAAAAAAAAUGAAAAAAAAAACAAAAAUCAAAAAUCACAGUUCACUGUUCACAAAUCCCUAAUUCAAAAAAAAAAUCACUCUUGAUUAUCGUUUUCACCCGCAGCAACCAGCAGCCGCAGCCACGCAGCAGUAGCAACCGUGCGCAAUCAGCAGCAACCGUGCGCGCAACACAGCCUACGCUGCGCGCAGAUCCAGCAGCCCGCGCACGCCGCACAAUCUGUCCCACCCGCAACGCAGCGCGAACCAGCCAGUGCGCACAACGCAGACAACAUCCCGCAUGCAACCAGCAGUGCGCAACCAGCCCCAACCCGCGCAGCAAGCUCCAGCCGAGCAGCAACGCAGCGCAAAUCCAGCCUACGCCCUGUAUUCCAGCUGGGUAAAUCGAAAUCCGUGAGUGCAAUUAUUGUAACAAUGCCGAAGAGGAAAGCAUCUACUUCCAAGUCAUCUAAAAAGACACCCGUCGCAAAGAAAUCUAAGAUUUCCGCUCCCACUACGGUUCCAUGGAACACAAUUUCAGAUUCACGCGAAGCUGUGAGACAAAGAUCGAAACAUGGAAAAGGCAUGAGUGUUUUGCUACUUGCGGAAUCCAAUCUCGGAGGGUGCCUCGCAUUCGCGACUCAACAAGAGAAAGAAAGGUACAAAGAUAUUUCCACGUGCAAAAUACUUCCAGCUAAGUAUAUUCAUUACCCGACUCUUGAAAAAUUGAAUGUUAAGGAUAAUUUUGAUUCUUUGAUAGAUAAUAUUGGGUUGCGUAAGUUUAUUGAUGUUGAUUGUUUGGGUUAUGUUGAGUUGAUUAGGGAGUUUUAUGCUACUUUUCAAUUUAAUAUGCCGAAUGAUUUUACUUUGCAUACCCCGGAUGUCAUAAAGUUUAGGUUAAUGGGACGGAAUUUUUCACACUCUAUCACAGAUUUUAACCUAGCUUUAGGAUUCAUUGAUGAUGAUUAUUCUUCUAGUGAUGCAUAUUUAAGAACAACUUGUGACUUUAGCGAAAAUUUUGAGCCUUAUGGUCUUUGGCGUAAUUUAUCUGUUGAUCACAAUGCCUAUGACCCGAGUAAAUCAAAGAGUUCUUUCUUACGUGAUCCUGUUUUGAAAUGUGUGAAUCGAUUCUUAGCAUAUAAUUUUUUAGGCAAGAAAGAUCACUCAGGAGUUUUCUCUAAAACUGAAUUUUAUUUUAUCUGGUGCAUGUUAAAUGAUGUGAGGCCUAAUUUAGGUUUUUGGUUAGCGGAUCAAUUUCAAAGUGUGCUUAAACGGUAUAUGACUUUAUUUCUUGGUCCAUACAUUAGCUAUAAACCUAUGUGUGCUUGAUCCUGACAAUAAUGAUUUGCAUCCUGCUUGCAAAAAGAAAUUUUUGGAUAUGUCUGUGUUUGAAAGAACAGGUGUGGUCGAAUUCAAGGAGGGGAGAUUUCAGUUUACUGAACCAGGACCCACUCAACCUCCGAAGAAGCUUUAUGUUAGAAGUGGUGCUACCUCUGAUGACGAGUUUGACGACGACACUGCUGCCCCGCCAACUAUUCCUUCUACAUCUGCACUACCUUUGAGCAUUCAGUUAGAGAAAAUGGAGCACAAGCUGAACAAGAUGGAGCAGAAUUUGGCCGUAUACUUAGAGAGUGUGGGAUUUACCCCACCAUUUCCGCCAAGCCCAUAGACGUUAUGUGGAUCAAAGCUCACAAUUCAGGGAAGUUUUUUUUGCCUUUAAUCUUUUAUCCUUACUCUUUAAUUUUUAUGUGAGCUUUGAUUAUCUUACAUUGGGGACAAUGUAAGUUCUUGGUGUGGGGGAGGGAUUUUUGCAUUAUUGAUGUCUGGAAUUAUUAUUUUCACUCUACUCAUCUAUUUUCACUCUACUCGUCCUUAAAUGAUUUUGGAGUUAGUAUGCUUCAUAUAUUAUUAAUUUCCUUUUCCUUUCUCUCUUACUACUCUUUUCCCAUCUAUCUCAAAUUAUUUACAUCUAUUUUUUUUCUAUCAUACUCUUUCAUCACUCACAUUUUAUCUUUCAUUUUUUUUACUACAUACAUCUUUCUCGCUUAUUAUCUUUUUUAUCUUUCCUUUUAUAUCUCACUCAUACCUUCUUCUCAUUCUACACCACUAUUGAUGAUUGAUUCAUUUGAAGAGUGUACAUGAUUUGAUGGUAAAUUUACCAACUUUGUGAGGAUUUGAGCCUAUGAGCAACCACUUUGCUCUAAUUAUUUUUGUUAUGUGAAUAUCAAUCCUAGUUUGUUUAUUCUAGAACUUGCUUUGUUAUGCAUGUUGAACCCACAUUACGGGAUUUUAUGCAUUAAAAUGAUAAGGGCAAACCAUUUACCAUUUUUCUAUUCUCGCAUUUUUCUUUUUCUCUACCCGAAGACCUUUAUUUGCUACCUUUGUUUGAGCCUUAACCAUUACCCAUCUAAUUCUCUCCGUCUAUUUAACCAUUUUUCUUAUUUUUUAGCCUCAAUUUAAGGAGAUUUUUGGACUCAUUGUGUGAAUAUAUUUUGUUGCUUUUUAUACCUUGUAUUAAAGUUUCUCAAUUAGAUCAACAAGCAUUAUGCUUGAAUUAAAUUGUGCAAGGUUCGUUUCUUUUGUUUGAUUCGAAAAAAAAACAAAAAAAAAAGAAAAAGAAAAAUCGAAAAAAAAAAGUUUACAUUCUUGGUGACUUGAGUAGAAAUAAGCAUUUUGAUAUCAUAAGUUCAUUCAAUGAGUUCAUUCUUCUCAUUUUGAUCUCUUUUUCUUUCAUAGACCUUUCUUUUUCAUUUAACCUAUUUAACCCCAUUACAACCCUUUUAAGACCCUUAGAUUUUUACAUUUUAUUCAUAUUUUAUGGAUUGAGAUGUGAUAUAUGAGCAAGCUUAUGGUAAUAGCAUUCUUUGAUUUGAUUUGAGUGAAUAAAUGACACCCUAAACACUUUGAGUGCAUGGAGUGAAGUCAAUGAGAGGGCUAUUAAAUCUUGUUGCACUUGAAUUUUGAAUGGAUCUUCUUGGUGGUUGAAUGUUCUUAUUCUAUCUUAUGAGAUUCUAUGCUUUAAAAUCAUUGUCUCUCGAAUAUUGAUCGACUUAAUUUCUUGAGGUAUACUUGCUUAAAAUUGUUUUUGGAUGGGUUGAGAUGAGAAUUGAGUGGAGAUUUGAGAUUAGUCUUGAGUUAUAUGCUUGAGGACAAGCAUCAUCUUGGUGUGGGGGAAUUUGUUAGAGUGCAAUUUAUGCACUGGUUUUGCAUUGUUUACUUCCCUUAAUAUCGAUGUUUUGCACUUAAUAAUAAUGAUUUACUUGUGUUUUACUUUUGUAGGUGCAAUUUUAUUGAUUUGUGAUAAAAUUGAGCUAUAAGAUGAUGUUUAAAGAUGAUUGUUCUCUUCGAGAAAUUAUGAGCGUCAGAAGAACUUUGUUGAUAAGGCGUGGGCGCGUGCUGUCAACUGCGGACCUGCAGUUUUUAGUUUAACGUGUUUUGUAGUUUUGGUUAUUUUUGUAAUUACGAAUUUAAUAUUUCAGAUAUUAGUAUUUUAUUUUAAAUAGAACUCUAGAGGAGAAGAGAGAGAGAGUAUUUAAGGGAGGAAUCUAUUGUGAAAAAAAGGGGAUUGGAGAAAAAGAAAGAAACCCUAGAUCUAAUUUUUCUCUUCUCUCUAUGAAGAACUAAACUUAUUUUUCUGGUUGAAGGUUAAUGAAGCUUUGAUUCAUCACUACUGUGAGAUCUUUCUUAUGCUUUAAUUGUUUUAUUACUCUUUGGGUAUUUGUUUAUUAUCUGAAUUAAUUUCAUGAUUAUGUUUGUUAAUUAGGUAAUUGGCCACUAUUUAAUUAUCAACUUAAUCUAUUGUCAAUUAAAUGAUUCAUCGUAUGAAGAUUUUAAUGUUUGUGACAAAUAACAUAGCAGUGAGUUGUGUUAUGAGAAUAAACAAUCUAAUUUAAAUGAAUCAUCAUAUGUGUUGAUUAGGAUUUGGGUCUCUCUGAUUUUUCAGGCUGUCAAUUGAUUAAAUCCUAUGAUCGUAUCUAGGGUUGUCUAUUGAUUAGGGAAAUAUCCAACGGUCGUACCUUGGUUAUCGACUAGUUAAGGAGAGAUUGGCUAUUAGAGGGUCUCAAUAGCUAUAACCGGUCUAUUCAUAAGUAAUAAUAAUCUAUAUUUGAAUCAAUGAUCAGUAGUCGAAUCAAGCUGAGUUAAUUCCUUCAACCAGAGUUUUCUUCAAUUUGAAUUACAACUUUAAUUUACAUUCUUAUUAUUUUAAUUUGAUUCUUAUUAAUUUAUUUAGAGUAUGAAUUUAUUUUUGUUGGCUUCGACAACCAUCAAAUUUACAAGGCCUUUAACGGGUACUUUGCAAUAUCUUUAGGUUAUCAUUCGUCAUUCGUCAUUUUACGCUGAAAUAUUUGGUAUAGUCGUGGCUAUUAAGGAAGCAGUUAAAAGAGGGUGUGGUAAUAUGUUUGGUUAGAAAGAUUCUUUAGUGCUGCUCUAUCUUGUCUUCACACUCAUAGUUUUGGCCUUACAUGGUGCAUUUGUAAUAAAUGUAUUAAUAGUUGUAGUUUGGUUAAAAAUAUAAUUUUUAGGCGCUCUCAUAUCUCCUGAGAAGGAAAAGUUAUUUGAGAAUGCUUGGGCUACUACAAGAAUUGUUUUAUAAUUUAGCUUCUUUUAUAUAUGAUGCUUUCGUAACUCUUGUCUUUUUAGUUUAAUAUAUUUUCAGAUUUUCAUAAAAAAAGAACAAAAAAACAUAUUUUUCAUUUUGAUCAAGCGUCGCUACAGCAGUGCUAAAGCGUAAAAAUAUAUUAUUCAAUUAAUUAACAACUAUCUAUAUUGUCAUGUUUUAAUUUUUAAAAUUAAAAAAAUUGUCGGUUAGUGGAUACUGGAUACCAUACGUUUCUCUCUUUUCCAAACCCUCACGGGAGAUUUUAUGAGUGAGUUUGUGAGCAAAAAUAUCAUUCUUAAGGAAUAAGGAUGGUGUUGAAAGGUUCUAUUUUGAGAAUUUCCUGCUCCUGGAUUUUUCAGAACCUUAAAUCUAGACGGAUUCGGUAAAUCCUACCCAGAUGGGGUUAGUCCCAUUUCACCAAAACGGAAUUUUCGAAUCCGUUUAGAUUUAGGAUAAUGCUUAAGCGUUCAUUAUAUAUAAAACGAUUAAACGAAUCACGGACAUUUUCAACCAUUCACACAACCACCACAGAGAUCACAACUAUUCAGAGUUCUCCCGAAAGUGCAAAAACAAGAUGCCAUCAGAAACCGAAACCACGACCACCUACGCGAUCGACUUGCGAUUUGAUGAAGCCUUGAACACCAGGAUCUCGAACAUACUUAGGAGUAAGGACAUCUUAGGACCUGUGGAACCCAGGUUGACUAUCGGGGUCGCACAUGCCGAGGCACAAACAUGUUCAUCAGCACUCUCCAUACUGGAGAAUGUCCUCCGUCGAUACAUCACAAUCCAGGAGCGGUUUCCAGUUGGACUGAAUGGAGUGGAAUUAAAUCACCCGGUAACAGAACCACGAAACUUUCUGAAACUAGGUCCGGUCUCCUCGUUGAUGCACAUUUUGCGAUGCCAUGGCAACUUCCAUGAUGCUCUCAGAAUGGAAGAUCCCGAUCAUCAGCUUCAAAUUUCCCAGGAUUGCAUGCCCCCAGAUCGUUGGGAGCAAUUUGCCAAAAUCACCCUUUUUAAUUCCAGAGAUCAACUUUUUAAAGCCAUUCGAGAUCUGUGCCCGGUUUUCGAUAGCGAGCCUCCUCUCAAUGGCUUCGCCCAUCAAGUCGCUUUGGUGGAAUUGUCACCUAAUCCCAGGGACUUAUCAGUCCUUCCUCUCCGGGAACGGGCUGCUUCUGAUCGUUUGGUGGACGCACAAGAAUAACCCACCGAGUCUCAAGAUCGAGAUUACAUUUAGAUAAUAGAAAUAUUGUCUUUGUUUUCUCUGUUUUUUGUUUCUGGAAUUGAUCUAAUUUUUACUUUUAUUUUCAUUUUUUUACAGUUCUUGAACUUACCGAAAAUUACGUGGUUAAAUGUGCUUAUCCUUCAGCCUCGUAAAUAUUUAAAAAUAAAAGGUGUUAAUUGCACAUAUCAAGUUAUUUACCAUAUUGGUUAUUUGCGAGGUAGUAUUUGAAAGCUUAAAACACAAGUGAGACAAAUCGUAUAGACUCAAACCGAUUGGUCCCGCUGUUCUCUCAUGACCUUCAAUGCAGUUCCGUGCUCUUGAUCCUCAUUAAUGUUUAUAAGCCUCUGUAUGCCGUUUGCAUUUACCGAGACUUGAAUUCGAGAGCUAUUAUUCAUGAUUAAUAAUACUAGUGAGCCCUUGUUGAUGCUGAAAUUUGAUCAGAACGGAUGAUGACGACCAGAUUGUCUUGUCAACGGUCAAACCUUCCUUUUACUUGAAAAUGCACCCCUCUAGAUUUUACCAGUAUUGGGCUGCCUCGAUGCUUCCAAUAGCCUGAAACAAUAAGAAGAUGGUCAGGGGCGCCGGAUUUCCCGGCGAUAACCCUCCGACGAUCAAGUCAGUGAUCUUAGUUGAUUUUUUUAUAUCGAGAAGUUCAUUCUAGCUAAAAAAAAUCCAACCCCUUUUUCCAACUCUUUUACCUGUUUUUAUGGACGAAUCCAGGGGUCAAUCAUUAUGGUCGUUAUCUAAUUAAAUUCAUUGAUUGCAUCAUUUAAGUUUAAGUGAGCAUAUUAAUUUGCCCGUUUAUGUAAUUAUUAGUUAAUCGUUGUAACACCUAGUUAAGAUUUAAGGCGUCUGGCCGUCACAGAUCAAUAAAGGGACUCCUGACAUCCGCCUAUAAACUCACGCGACCAGCUCUUGAUCUGCUCGAGCUGUGCUAGUUUGCUCGAGAUGAGCUGGUCGCGCUUGAUACUUGCGACCAGAUGACAGAACUUCCACUCGUCUUGACCAAAUCUUGAUCUCCCAAACAGCCUUGUUUAUAGUUUCUAUAUUAUCCUAUAUUUACAAUGAAAGGGGUAUUCUUAUUUAUUUGUUUCAGCAGCCGUCAAUUUCACUUAACCUAUUUAUUUUCUGAAUUAUUCUAAAUUUUAUAAAUUGAUACAAAGUUUCAACCAAACGGGUCAAAUAAAAAUUUUCGAUUUUUUAACCACCUUUUUCAACAUGGGUCGAAUAUUCCGUAUGCAAUUGAAAUAAUUGAAAAUUUGGUCGACAAGUUAAAUUGAAGAGGUUAUCCGAGCUAACCCUUUAAAACUCUACAGAACUUUACUCUUAAAUAUAUGGUUAUUCCCUUAAUUAAAAUUAUAUGAUAAGGGUAAAAAGUUACCUUAAAUUUUUAAUUAAACCUACUAUAAUCACCAUUACAUGAUUUAAAGAAAGGAUAUGAUUUAAAGAAACGUUCUAAAUAAAUUUUAGAUUAAUUGACUUCAUAUUUGUCCUUUUAUAUAAUUUACUCAAAUAAUAAAAUUAUGAUUCAAAAAAUGGGGUUUUAAGGAUAUCAUACGGGGUGGGAAAAGUGUUACACUAAAUAUCACAACUCUCUAUUAUUAGUUGUGACAUGUAAUAAUUAACUUCAUCUGUAUAUCUUAGCAUCAUUCUCUCCUCAAUUAAAUAAAUCUAAUUUUCAAAAUUAUCCCUAAUUUUCAGUAAGGAUCAUUAAUAUUUUUAUUUUUAUUUUCUGCCCUCUCAUCAACUCUCUCGCUCAAGCAUCACCAUCAUUUCCACCACUUAUUUUCAUCAUCAUCAAUCCAUCACCACUUGUAGAAUAUAAUGAGUUUUUGUUGUUGGGCUUUAUUUAAUUUUAUAAAUAAGUGAUGAAUUUUAUUAUUAUUGAUUGGAUGAAUUUGAAGUGUGAUGAAUAGAUUAAAAAAAGAAAACCACCUUAUUACUUGUAUCUAUUAUUUCUCACCUCUUGAAACUCAUCAUCAUCAUAAAAGCUGAAAAAUAAAAGUAUGAAAAUUCAUUUUUGACUUAAUUUUUUUCUUGUUUUUCUUGCUUUUAAUUUUCUUUUCUUUUUUGUGCUUCCUCCAUUCUUGAAUUUGACUUGCAAAAUUAUUGAUCAUGAUAUCAUAAAUAUUGAGUUUGGUUCAUUAAAGGAGCAAAGUGGGUUACUCCAAAAGUUAAAAAGGGAAAAAACAAUAACAGUGCAAACGAGAGUAAAAAUAAUAAUAAUAAGGAUUACUCUUUUAAAAAUACAUUGAAUUAAUUAAGAAGUGGCGGUUGCUAUUUAGGGCCCAUUAACAAGAUUAUCCAUUUAACCAAUUAACCCAACCGCAGAUGCUCGAUAGCCUAAUAAAACUAUUGUCAGAAUAAUAAUAAUUUUUUAUUAAAAAAAGGGACUUCUGGAAUUAGGGAUUUUUGGAAUUCGCGCAUUGCAACAAAGAAACCCCAACUAGUUACCUUUCUCAAUUCUAGCUGUAGCCUUUCUGCCAGAAUCUCGUCGCUUGGCUUACCGGAGCCUCGCCGAAACAUUUAAGAGAAUCGCACGCUUGCACACUGCUGAGUCAGGUCUCCACCGGCUGUUUUUCACUAUUAUUUAGUGUUUUAUAACAUUUUAUUAAUGUUAAUUGACUGUUAAUACUUUAUUUAAUAGUAAUUAGCUAUUGACUAAGACUGUUGGCUGUUGAAAGUGUUUGUGUUAUUAAAAUUAAAAUGAGAUGUUUUGGGAAUAAAAUAGGGUAACCAUGAUCUCCUCGAAUAAAAAGUGAGGAAAUGGUUGAUAGGAUAAAAGAAGGUAAUUCUGGUGAUCUUGAGUAGACCACCUCGACUAGGUGUUAAUCUUGAGACCAUGAUCAGACCAUCUCGACUAGGUGGUAACUUCAAUAAGCAUGAGCAGACCACCUCGAUCAGGUGGUAAUCUUGAGACCAUGAGUAGACCACCUCGACUAGGAGGUAAUUUUGGUAACCAUGAGCUGACCACCUCGACUAGGUGGUAAUUCUUAGGACCUUAAGCAAGUUAUCUUGACCAAGUGGAAAUUCUUGUGACCUCAAGCAAACGAGUUUGAGGAGGCAUUGGACCGAGUCACCAAGAAGAAGGACUCAUUAAAAUAACCGCCACAAAUCACCUUUAAAAAAUAGGGCAUGAAUUUAAUUCAUUAAUUGCCACAAUCUAAGGUCGUGGGUGUGGGGUGUUUAUAAAAACCCAAAGAAAAUCAUACCAGAGAGAGGUUGAACUUUAAAACCCAAAGAAAAUCAUACCAGAGAGAUGUUGAACUUUCUUUUUUAAUUUUUAUUUUAUUCUUUUGAUUACAUUUUACUUAAGAUUAUUUAUUUAUAAAAACUAGAAAUGACAUAUUUUGUUUUUCUUGUAAACCCGAUAACUGACUUGAUGCUGGAAAAUUUUUUGGCACCUCUAAUUAUUCUCUGUAAUUUCAUAUACUUGUUGAUCAUCAGUUUCAAGAUUAUCUGCUUGUAAAUAUUCUGCUCAUAGUCAAAGAAUAUUCUUGGAGAUCAACAAGCAUCUUCCCACCAAACAAAUUUAAUGCUGAUGCAGUGAUUUGAGUCACUAACCAACUUGUUCAGAUUUGGGCAUCAACAUGAGUAAUUUUUGUUUUAAAAUAUUAUUUUAACAAAAUUAGUAUUGAUAAUGAUGUGGCUAUUGAGAGCUGACUUUUGUUUCUUAUUUUUAUUGUGUAUACUAGCAGUGUUUUAGCUGAAAGGAGGGGAAGUCAUACUUUUGAAGGCUGUGUUGAAGUAACCUAAACCUGAUUGAGGUUGGGAAUGAUAGAGGAUUAAACACUUGAAAUGGAAGAAUCAAAGACGACAGGGAAAAGGAAAACACCUGAAGAAGAUUCACAUGUCAGGGGAACCCCUAAGGAAGAAUCGACCAAGAACCAACGAAAUCCGACACGCUCAAGUGUACAUGAGGUUGCAGUACCCAGCGGCUAUGCAUUGACUAAAGAUGAAAAGACUCAUGGGACACUUGCUAAUCCGGUUUAUAAUGGUGAGAUGGCAAAAACCUACAGUUUUGAGCUCGACCCAUUUCAGCGAGUGUCGGUUGCAUGCUUGGAGAGAAAUGAAUCGGUUCUUGUCUGAACUCAUACAUUGGCAGGUAAAACUGCCGUUGCCGAGAAUGCGAUAGCAAUGGCUUUUAGAGAUAAGCAGAGGGUUAUAUACACUUCACCUUUGAAUGCUUUGAGUAACCAGAAGUACAGGGAGUUACAUAAAGAGUUUAAAGAUGUUGGAUUGAUGACUGGUGAUGUUACUCUCUCACCCAAUGCUAGUUGUUUGGUGAUGACAACAGAAAUUCUACGAGGAAGCUUUAUUGAGGGUCGGAGGUCUUGAAGGAAGUUGCUUGGGGUAUUUUUGAUGAAAUUCAUUACAUGAAAGAUAGAGAAAGAGGGGUUGUUUGGGAGGAGAGUAUAAUACUUUUACCGCCCGCUAUUAAGAUGGUUUUUCUUUCUGCGACAAUGUCCAAUGCAAUCCAGUUUGCUGAGUGGAUUUUUCAUUUCCACAAACAGCCUUGUCAUGUGGUGUAGACAGAUUUUCGACCAACACUUUUACAGCGCUAUGCUUUCCCAGUGGGUGGGAGUGGGUUGUAUCUUGUUGUUGAUAAGAAAGAGCUGUUUAGAGAGGAUAAUUUUGUGAAGCUGCAAGAUAAUUUCUCAUAGCAGAAAAUGGGUGGCAGGAGAGAAAAUGGAAAAGCAAGUGGGAGAAUGGCCAAAAGUGGGAGUGGUUCUAGGGGUUCAGACAUAUUCAAAAUUGUGAAGGUGCAGCCACUAUUUCCAACUAUUAUUCUUCAUUCAGUGUUGUUAGAUGCCCUGAAUUGAUGUUCUUUUAAAGUAUGUGACCAUGGCUUGUUACCAGCUUUCUUUCGUUCUUGGAGCAAUUCUAUUGGUAGCAAUGUAAGUGAUAGUUAACUAUUUCUUACAGCCAUUUUAUAUCCACUCUUAUGCCUUAUGAUAUAAUCUGUCUCAAAGAAAUAUGUCUUACUGGCAUGACUUGGGGGUUUGACUAUGGGAAUCAGAAUACUCUCACUAAAAACUUCUGAUUUUCAAUUCAACAGUUCUUUAUUUUAAUUCUUUGGAAUAUCACUCUUCUCUUGAAGUGGAAAGUUAUGCCAUAAAAAAAAAUAUUAUGGGCAAAGUAGAAGGGAGAAUUUUUUUUUUAAAAAUAAAAUCUGUGAUUUAAUCUUUAUCUUGUAGCUUGGUGGAUUCUUGUGUGUUUCCCUAGGAAUCGAGACACAAUAUAGAGUAUAAUUUGUUCUACUUUUUACUUAAAUUUUUUUUAAAAUUCAAAUUAUUAGUCAUUAAUCUUAUACAAUUUAAUAAUAAAUAUUAAAAUUCAAAUUAUUAGUCAAUGAUUUAAUGAUGUUAACUUAAAAUAGCUUAAUUGCUUAAAAUCAUGUUCAUCAAUUCAAGUACCAUUUACUAGCUUACUUACGUAAUCGCUUUUUUCCCUUAUUUUUUUCUCAUUUUGGAUUCAAUCAUUUCAGAAUCAACAGUAUUAAAGGAUUAAUUUGCAAUAUUUCAUAAAUGAACUAGAGGUGUUGAGUUGUCUUGAAAAGAAAAUAAAACGGUGUCUCAUAGAUAGAUUAUUAUUUGCUCAUCAAAUAUUAACAGAGAUAUCUGAAAAUUGUGUCUAAUGUUUCGUCAUCCUCUUUGAACUUCAAUGAGAUCAAAAUUCAACUAGUCGUUUAUUGUAAUAAACUUCCUGUCGUUACUCUUGAUGUGUAUUUGCUAAAAUGUAAUAUUGUGUUUGGUUUAAAGAAUUUUGCUUAUUAUAUAUAUAUAUAUAUAUAUAUAUAUAUAGAGUCAUGAUUUGAUUCAAGAUCUUGGACUUUUUUUAAAGUCUAGGAAAGCUAUUGAGUAAUAGCAUUAUGUCAUUCUACUAUUAAACCAAACAACUUAAUAGUUUUUUCGGACUUUAAUAAAUUUAGGAUUCUGAACUGAAACAUUUAUAUAUAUAGCUACGUUGAUUUCUUGAUAGUCUGUAUUUGGUUUCUAUGGAGGAAUGUGCAAACUAAUGCCCAAAUUUAGAAUGACAAAAGAAGCUAAGUAUCGUUUUAUAACUUAGCUUAUUUUAUAUAUGAUGCUUUCGUAACUCUAGUCUUUUUAGUUUAAUAUAUUUUCAGAUUUUCAUUAAAAAAAGAAAAAAAAAUUCAUUUUGAUCAAGCGUUGCUGCUUGCUACAGCAGUGCUAAAGCGUAAAAAUAUAUUAUUCAAUUAAUUAACAAAUAUCUAUAUUGUCAUGUUUUAAUUUUUAAAAUUAAAAAAAUUGUGUCGGUGAGUGGAUACUGGAUACCAUACGUUUCUCUCUUUUCCAAACCCGCACGGGAGUUUAUGAGUGAGUUUGUGAGCAAAAAUAUCAUUCUUAAGGAGCAAGGAUGGGGUUGAAAGGUUUUAUUUUGAUAAUUUCCUGUUCUGGGUUUUUCAGAACCCUAAAUCUAGACGGAUUCGGUAAAUCCUACCCAUAUGGGGUUAGUCCCAUUUACCCAAAACGGAAUUUUGGAAUCCGUUUAGAUUUAGGAUAAAGCUUAAGCGUUUAUUAUAUAUAAAACGAUCAAACGAAUCACGGACAUUUUCAACCCUUCACACAGCCACCACAGAGAUCACAACUAUUCAGAGUUCUCCCGAAAGUACAAAAACAAGAUGCCAUCAGAAACCGAAACCACGGCCACCUACGCAAUCGAACUGCGAUUUGAUGAAGCCUUGAACACCAGGAUCUUGAACAUACUUAGGAGUAGGGACAUCUUAGGACCUGUGGAACCCAGGUUGACUAUCGGGGUCGCACAUGCCGAGGCACAAACAUGUUCAUCAGCACUCUCCAUACUGGAGAAUGUCCUCCGUCGAUACAUC
rnacentral:lncRNA from 1 species